UGCUGUGAAGGUGAUUUAGCUCCCACAGCUAUCACACCUUUGAUGGACACAGUUGAUUCAAUUCAUCUCCUGACUAGGUGGGUGGCCUCUCUCCCUCAUCAUUCUAGGUACAGCUUCAUUUCUCUGAAGCUGUGAAAGAGUUUGAAGAGGACUAUCUUUCCCAAGAUAGGAAGAUUGCUCUUCAACCAAGAGCAUUGGCAAGCUUAUAGAAUUUUUGGUAAAGUGGACACAUCCUACUAGGGGUUAGAAAACAUAACUUCUGUCAUA
ensembl:misc_RNA 7SK 7SK RNA